AGGUAGGGGGUUGGGAGAGAGGAAGAGCAGAGAUGGCAAACCGCCAUUGGAGAUCAAAUCCAAGGCAAGAAAUUUCGAAGCAAUACUUCUCUCGGUGCUGGAAAAGGAGUUUGGGUGGUGGAUCCACUCAUUCCGGCAAGAAAAUCCGAGAACGGACAAGUUUCUUGAAGUUUCUGGACGAAAAUUGGAGUUUAGUCGGACUUCUGAUAAACCGAUCGAAAAUAUAAAAUGAGAGAAGCAUCGGCCUGUGUACGGUGGAGAGAUGCGGAACCGUGAUCGACACGUGACAAACUGCGGCUAGAGAGGCGUGUCCCACAGGCUAAGCGAUUACGCGUCAGGGUGCAGAUUCGGGUCAAUCCGAGUUCGAUCCGGCGCUCCGCACGCGAACAGAACCGUUGCGAGGCCGCUCCGACCUGUUUGAACCGACCCAUCUCGACCCGAGACUAUACA